CCUACGGGUGGCAGCAGUGAGGAAUAUUGGUCAAUGGGCGCGAGCCUGAACCAGCCAAGCCGCGUGAAGGAUGACUGCCCUAUGGGUUGUAAACUUCUUUUAUAAGGGAAUAAAGUGAGGGACGCGUCCCUUUUUGGAUGUACUUUAUGAAUAAGGAUCGGCUAACUCCGUGCCAGCAGCCGCGGUAAUACGGAGGAUCCGAGCGUUUUCCGGAUUUAUUGGGUGUAAAGGGAGCGGAGAUGGGUUGUUAAGUCAGCUGUGAAAGCUGGGGGCUGAACCGUGGAAUUGCAGUUGAUACUGGCGGUCUUGAGUGCGGUUGAGGUAGGCGGAAUUCGUGGUGUAGCGGUGAAAUGCUUAGAUAUCACGAAGAACUCCGAUGGCGAAGGCAGCUUACUGGACUGCCACUGACGUUGAGGCGCGAAAGCGUGGGUAUCAAACAGGAUUAGAUACCCUGGUAGUC
rnacentral:rRNA from 1 species